rnacentral:rRNA from 1 species
GUUGUCCAGAAACAGAAUCCCAGUUCAAAUUUAAAUUUACCUAAAAACCACUUAAUUCUAAUGUAAACUUAAAUUAUAGUCUAAAAAGGUACAGCUUUUUAGAUACAGGAUACAACCUUUAUUAGAGAGUAAGAAUAAGAUUAAUCCCAUAGUUGGCUUAAAAGCAGCCAUCAAUUAAGAAAGCGUUCAAGCUCAACGUCACACAUAUCUUAAUCCCAAUAAUAGACUCAGACUAACUCCUAAUCUUAUACUGGACUAUUCUAUCGACACAUAGAAGCAAUAAUGUUAAUAUGAGUAACAAGAAUUAUUUCUCCUUGCAUAAGCCUAUAUCAGAACGAAUACUCACUGAUAGUUAACAACAGAAUAGACACAAUCCAAAAACUAACCAUCUAUUUAGACUAUUGUUAACCCAACACAGGUGUGCACCCAUAAGGAAAGAUUAAAAGAAGUAAAAGGAACUCGGCAAACACAAACCCCGCCUGUUUACCAAAAACAUCACCUCUAGCAUUCCCAGUAUUAGAGGCACUGCCUGCCCAGUGACAUCUGUUUAAACGGCCGCGGUAUCCUA